rnacentral:lncRNA from 1 species
CCCCAGAUAGAGAAUUUGAUGUCAGAUCAAAGGAACAAUUCUAGCCAAGCCUAGAUUACCAAUAAUCUCAUUUAUUGACAAACCAAUGAUCUUACUUACAGGAGCAUGAUGGUUAGUUUAUAAAGUGUGGGUGACACCAGAAUAGUGGCAUCACUGCAAAGCCCCACCUUAGCAAUGAUGAUCUCAUAUAAAACUGCAUCAUGAAAUCCUACCUUCAGUUAACCUUGCAUUUCUUAAAUACUGAGAACUUCCCAAGAUCAUGUGCAACUGGGAGGGACAGAAAGAGAGGUGACUACUAUCUCAGUUCUAUGAUCUCCCUUUGCCCCUCCAGGGAAUAGUAACAGUCCUAUACAUUUGCUAUAGACCUAGAAUCCCACUGUGUUCUGUUGUCACGGCAACUGGGCCAGGCAUUCUAUAGGUCACUACAACAAUCUGGGCUCCGAGAUGGUGAGGGAGUUGUAGCAGACUCUGUGUGUUUGUGUGUGUGUGUGGUGUUGGGGACAGAGGGAUAGCUUUAUUCCAACAGCUGGGGACAGUGUCAGCUGAGCAUAUAGCUUCUGAUGCUGUGAGUGGAUAUUGACAACCGUGGGCCCUAGCUUCGUUAUUUUCCUUAACACUGAAGCUUUGGGAAAUAGAUGCCUUCUGUAAAGAUGAGCUGGCUGAGUGGUGAUGCCUGCCUGGUACUGCCGUGCAGAAAGAAGCAACAGAAUUUGUAGGCUGCAACUCCAUGCAUGUCUUUAGGUGACAGCAUUGCUUAGAAGCUUUACCUUCUGGUACAAUUUGGAAGCCUUUGGAUGUUACAUAAUGUUCUGGGGAAUAGGGAGUUGGCCUUAAUUGUCACCCAGAACAGUGGUUCCAAGAUGUUGGCUGACGAUCAGAGCAUAUCCAUGACAAAGAUCUCAUGUCUGGGCAGAAUGGAAAAGAACAUUGUGAAAUGUCAGCAGCUACUUAUAAUGUACUCAAGUACCUUCAUAGAAUUCUUAUUCUAAGAGUAUACCCUACCC